rnacentral:lncRNA from 1 species
CUUUUUCAUUCCAUUCUUAAUUACUGAGUCUGUGAUUAAAAAUGGCAAACAUGUGUUUUGAGAGAAACUAAGCUGUGAUUUGGGCUGUGGGUAGUAAUUUCGGAGUGGGAGAACAUGUUAACCCCUUCCCUUCCACCCUACUCAUGAACUUCAAACACAAGGAAACACUAAAUACAAAAUAAAGAAGCAAAACAUAGAAAAAUGAACUACUUUUCAGUUCAAAUACUUUGUAUGGUGAUACCAAGGAGAAGUUUCUGAAGAAACAAAUAAAAAUGACUGUUUAAUAUUUACAAAACAAUGUUCAGCUAAAAUAACAUAGGCAGCCACAGAUAGGGUAUUACGGUGGUUAAGACUCUUAAUUUUUGCUCUUAAAGAAAGAUUAGUUUUAGAAUCUGACAAUCAGUGGAUCCAGUCCUACUGACUCUGCUUCCUCCUCUCUGCAGGGUCAAGUGCAAGUCAUUUCAAUAUCUCACAGUUGACAGCUCCCAUUUGUAAAAGGAGGACAAUCAAGGCCACGUGGAAAAUUUUUGGAGAACCCACCAAGAUGCUGGAAUUCUCCAAGCGGAUUUGCCUGAUGGAGACAUUUAAAGUUCAUUGACUGCAUGCACCUCAAGGGCAGUUUAUGCUCAGGUACAUUUUCUUGGCUCUCACAGUGAUUCUUGAGUAAGACUAAAAUUUUACUUUUGUUGACAUUUCAUUUCUUUAGUUGUUGAUAUUCUAAAUUCUUAUUUUUGUUUUUGUUUCUGGUUAAGUCUCUUAUUCCUUCCUUCUCUAAGUCAAGGUCAUUGCUGUGCCUCUUUCUACAUCAGGGACUUAGUGAGUCUGUAUUUUGUCUCAGAACAUUGAGUUGGUCUCAACUAUAUAGAGAGAGCUUAUGUUUUAAAAAUCUGAUCUGUGCAAAACCAGUAAGUUAUUCCCCAUUAGUGGCAGCAGAGGAAAGGGAAUCUAUCAUUUGAAAAUCUGGUGAUUUCUACUGAGAUAAUAGAUGCUUAUUUUUUGCUGGAUGAGGGACAAAAAAGAAUAUAAUUUGUUCAUCUAUUUUUGGUUAUUUAUUUGUGGGCUCAGAUUGAUUAAGAAAAUAUUCCAUGUCAGCCAGUAUGAGAACAGCUCUUUGCAAUCUGAUCCAGUUAGUUUUGUGUUUAGUGUUUACUUUCGUCCCUCUAAGUCUGGGUAAAUGGAACUAUAAGCACCCUUUGUCUGCAAAUCUACAAAUCAGGAAAGUCUUUACCUUUCUUGUGUGUUUGUGUGAAAUAUCUUUCCAUUUCCAUAGAUAUUAAAUGUUAUUUUUGUCAUAACCUAUAAGGAAAAUGAUCUGAAAAAGGACAUAUCUAUAUCUGUGAUAUAUAUCUGAAUCACUCUAUACCUGAAACUAAGACAAUAUGGUAAAUCAACUAAACUUCAAUUUUUAAAAAAAGAAUAAAAGAACUAAAAAAUAUUGUUAUUAUUACUUUAAAAAGCUAUUUCUGACUAUGACAUAGAGAUUUUUAUGUACCUAUGUAAAUCUAGCCAUCCCCACAAAA